rnacentral:piRNA from 1 species
UCUCUCUGAAAGACUGACAUGGUAAUAGU